rnacentral:rRNA from 1 species
UACGGAGGGUGCGAGCGUUGUCCGGAAUCACUGGGCGUAAAGGGUGCGCAGGCGGCCAUGUGUGUGAGGCGUGAAAGCCCGAUGCUUAACCGGGGAACUGCAUCUGAUACUGGAUGGCUUGAGUUCGGGAGAGGGAUGCGGAAUUCCAGGUGUAGCGGUGAAAUGCGUAGAUAUCUGGAGGAACACUGGUGGCGAAGGCGGCAUCCUGGACCGACACUGACGCUGAGGGGCGAAAGCCAGGGGAGCAAACGGG